AUUACGAUGGCUGGUGUAGUAUAUAAACACUGCAGACAAGAGCAGGAUUGUACCAGAACUACCUAUUCAGUCUUUAACAAGAAACCUUGCCAAUUCAAAAUGAACGGUCUGGCUGGAGUCAACGCCCUCGUGUGGGUUGCCAUCGCACUAGCUGUGCUGAUUAACGAAGCUUCUGCUCUAGGAGGUGGCGUCGGAGCUGGCAGAAUGGUUCCCGUUAAGAAGUGAAUGAAAGCAACCCUAAUCCAAGGCUUUGGCUACAUAGAGAAGUUCCCAAACCUGCUUACGCUGGAAAUAAAGUGAUGAAAGUGAACUA
rnacentral:lncRNA from 1 species